UACGUAGGUGGCAAGCGUUGUCCGGAUUUACUGGGCGUAAAGGGCGUGCAGGCGGUUUGUUAAGUUCAGGGUGAAAGCUCCCGGCUCAACUGGGAGAGGGCCUUGGAUACUGGCAGACUUGAGGAGGGUAGAGGAGAGUGGAAUUCCCGGUGUAGUGGUGAUAUGCGUAGAUAUCGGGAGGAACACCAGUGGCGAAGGCGGCUCUCUGGGCCCUACCUGACGCUGAGACGCGAAAGCGUGGGGAGCGAACCGG
rnacentral:rRNA from 1 species